UAAUGAGACAGUAAGCUGUCUACUGACUGGGAAGUCAUUUUGAAGAUUUAUUUAAAAAUCCAUUUUUUUAAUUCAGUUAGACCAAAAUGAAUGACUGACCCACAAACUGAGCUGGAAAAUGUUUACAAUCGAGACAGGAAGCUGUUUUCACAAAGAUAGGACCCAAAGUCUUUUUACAACCACAGCUAUCGCCAUCUGGUGGCAUUCUGAUUAAGGUUUAAGGCACUCCCAUGUAAGCUUAUCCGUGUCUUUUUACUUUUUUAAUGCCUGUGACUGGAAAUCAUUGUUUUGGGAUAAAGAAACUGAAAUAUAAAGUUUAAAUUUUUCUUUGUUCUUCCACAAGAUAUUCAUUCCUUUUACACACUCAUCUUUUUUUUUCCAGGGGAAUAUUUUUUGUGACCAAAGGCACUUUUGGUCAGCUGACCUGUGAGUGGCAGUAUCUAUUUGAAGAGUUCACCAAGGAUCCAACCAUUAUAGAGGACCGCCGACUUCGCAUUGAGGCCAAGGAGAGAGUGAAGUCAGUCUUUCAUGCCAAAGAGUUUGGGAAGAUAAUAAACUUCAAAACUCCAGAGAUAGCCAAAUGGGUUCUUGCCAAAUUGGAGGAUGCAAGAGAGAGUUUACCUAAGUACUGACUCUGAAGAUCGAGAAACGCUAAACACACGAGGUCUGUGUGUGCCAGUGCCUUUUUUCUUUACUGCAUGCUACCAAAAACAUUUUUGCCUACCAUAGCUUUAGAGAUUCAGUUUAACUUUCAUUUCUGGAUGUAAAGGAGGAUUUGGGUGUAGAAAUGUCAAUCUUAACAGUGACUGAUAGGGGAAAAAAAAAAUCCCUCGAGUAUCACUGAGGCCAAAUUAACCGUAAUUGUUGUAG